CUGACAGCAUUAGAGACCGAAGGCCCAUUUUCCUGCAUAUAUAGCAGUGCAAACUGCCCAGUGCUAUGCAAGCAACCUGGCUCAACCCUGAGCUGGAAGGACCAACUUUAGGGGUGAAAGGGUAGUUCAGUCUUUUGUCCAUUCAAUCCUUGGCUUUU
rnacentral:sRNA from 1 species